AUUUUCGUUGUUCUGUCUGCUCUUUUAUCAGACUUGCUUGGUCGUUUUGGGAUUAGCCCAUUGCCCAUAGGGACAGUACUUUUGCACUGAUUGAGUGUAAGAAAGGUUAAAUCGUUGACAAAAACGAUAAUGGAUUUUGAGUGGAAUCAGUGGAACAUAGGAGUACUUUUGUAUUGAUUGAAACUUUUCAAGGUUUGCUUACUAGAGGAGUGAAGAAUAUUGCAGAGUGCAAUAUAUUACUUGUAAAGAGCUUUAAUCAGCCAGCAACUGAUAACGGUGAGAAUGACGCAGGGUAGGAG